UUUAUACCUGAGAAAAUAUAACUGUGUACAAUUGUGCUGCGAUAUGUUUAAGGGACUGUGUUUGUACUGUAAGCCAUAAGAAGAUGGCCCCUUUAAGUAUAACUAUUUAUGAGAGCUUGGAUUUGCACAUGUCAUCCUGACGAUUAGAUUUGUCUUGUCAAUUCUCUUUUUCCGAAGGAUAACGUAUAUGUGGAUACAAUAAUUUUUAUUGUUAUUUCUUAAGCGUACGUUGAUGUUCGUAAUUAAUUGACUCCCGAGACUAAAAAAUUCUGAGUCCAUUUUUUCUUUUAAAAGUUGGAUCAACUUCUUCAGGAAAGACUUCAUCUUGAAUUUUCUAAGUAUAAAAUGUCACGUUUAAUAGAGCGAUGAUGCGUUUUUAUUUAUGUUGAGUGCUCGAGUCCAUUAAUUUAAAAGAUCUAUUUUUUCACUUCUAUAUUGACUUAAUACCUUAGCUCAUGUUCCACGUUACUUGGUAGAUGCGAGGUAUCAAGUAUAAAAGAAUUUUAAAUCAAGUGCAGAAAGAAUGUAUAUUGAGCGUGGAAAAGGACAGUUUUUUAAUAGUUGUCAAGUAGUUGCAAAAUGAAAUGAGAGUAUAUUUUAGGUAUGCGUGUCAUGGUUGCAUAAUUAUUAAAUUAAAUAUUAAUAUAUUCAGAGGUUAGGUUAGCUAAUUUCACAUGGAAGCUAGAUCCGUAAGACUUAAAUCAAAUAUUACAUCCAUCAUGUGUAAGCUUAGUUUUUCUGUGAAAAUAUAUAAAUUUAUAAAGUUUUUACACCAACAAGUAAUAUCCACUCUGAUGGAUGGGCCAUUGCGUUGUAGAUUGCUAGCAAAUUGCUAUUGCACAUUAGUUGAGAAUAAUUCCAUGUCUUAGGUAAAUUAGAGCGCGCGAAUAAUUUAUUAAAAGAAAAAGAAUACAAGAAGGACGAAGCAGUAAAGCUUGCGUUCGAAAAGGGAUGGCGUUCUUAUACAAGACUUGAUUGAAAAAUAAUACGUUCCCGCUGAAAGUGCAUAUCCACCGUGGGAAUAGCUAUUACCGUGGUAACCAGAACAAGGUCUACCUUGGAAAGUUUAAAUUAACUAUAGCAAAAAGUCUAUCUCUCAUCAAGGCCAAAGGUUACUGGUUUGAAAUACCUUUCGAGAAUUUGAAAUAUCAAUAUAAUUUAAAAAGUUCUCUAUGUAAUUUCGUUUAGUGGAAUAUCUAAAGAAGUAAUAUCAGAGGAGAAAAAAGAACAGAUAUGAAGUCUGUCAAAGGUCUCAUUUAGAAUUUCAUAUUUGCUGCUUCGUACGGCGCCAUCUUGGUAAUGUGUACUGCGCAUGCGCGACCGAGAGUUCUCAUAAGCGUCAUAGACAAACGAAUGUUCGACGUAGCAGACGAAAAACUCAUGCUUUUAUUUUCUGAUGUCUGGCUGGCAAGGAAAUGAGAAACAAGAAGCUACCUGCGUUUCAAGAUUUUCAUAAAAAGGUAGGAGCUCAACGGUAUUUUAUUGCUAACGCCGUCCUUGCGUUAGGUACGACCUUGACAUUUGAAUAAUCGCCUCAAACACACUGUGCAGUAACGAGAAGUGCUUUAAUACUGGAAAAAAUAAAUAAACUUCCAUCUCUAACGCAAGAGCGUGAAGAUUUAUGAAACGCACAAUGACGUCCAACGUAUUUGACUUUGGCGUCAUUUAACGCUAACCGUAGCCUUGUGCUCUUACAUCAUGUAUUACACUAUUGGUUAUACGUAUCCUUUGCGUUCGCAAAAGAAUAUUAUCGUGCUGCAGCUCAGACCUAGGAGUAAAAUUACAAAUGUGUCUCGAUAUUCUUGUAAAAAGCCGGCUUGCUGUAGCUGGACGUAAGCUGACUGGUAAAACUUCCACCCAAAACAACCCCUAGGAGUAAACUACAAACGAGUACAACUCUCUCAGAGACACGAUC